CGUGUAGGCGGUUCGGUAAGUGGAAUGUGAAAUCCCCCGGCUUACCCGGGGAACUGCAUCCCAUACUGCUGGACUUGAGUGCGGGAGAGGAUGGAGGAAUUCCUGGUGUAGCGGUGAAAUGCGUAGAUAUCAGGAGGAACACCUGUGGCGAAGGCGUCCAUCUGGCCCGUUACUGACGCUGAGGCGCGAAAGCUAGGGAGCAAACG
rnacentral:rRNA from 1 species